rnacentral:sRNA from 1 species
AACAAGCGCACAGAUGGUCGUUACGUUGU